UCAAGGAGGAGGAUGUGCUGGUCCUAUUACCGACUUUAUAUCUGGAAAACAGACUUGAGAAUAAUAAUUCUCUGUGCUUUAUCAACACGUGAGUUCACAGCGGCAGGCCCAGAAUGCAGGCACUUUACUUUAUGCAUUUGAAGACAUUUCUACCGCAAAUCUGUGGCUUUGCCACAGAGAAGUUUCCCCGAAGCCGCGCCUUAGAGGAGACGACCUCCCGGUGGGAGCUGGGGCGCGGCAGGUCUUCUUGGAGCAGAGCCCUUGUGAGGCCGCUGCCUCUGAUCUGAAUCAUCUCCACGAAGGAGGCAGAGGAGCCGCCCAUGGUUCCAGGGCCCUGCAUACCCUACUCGCCUCUCCGUCCCAGGGAAGUGACAAUCGCAUGUUUCUCAGCCAGUUAUAUGAUGCAUGUGAUGCAGUUUAAGAACACGCCCGCAGGGGAAACGCUACGUCCUCGGUCUGCUCAUCCACCUGACAGUGCCCCACAAGCCGAUGGAUACUCGUGCCAAGGGGUCACCUGCCGGGACUGGAAGGGGGCAGAGACCCUGGAG